UAAAUAAAAAGAAGUAUUGUGGUAUUAGGCACGAAGGGUUUCCUGUAGUUUAGACUGGAUUAGAUUAAUAAAAGAAGCAAUGCAGGCAAAACCACUGUGUAAUUGUAUAUGAGUCCUAAAUCUAACUGAGAACAUUAGGAUUUAAAAGCACAGCAUCGGCAUAUAGCAGAUAGAGGUAGGAUGGCAGAAGUGCAUUACACGUCAAUACUGCAUUUUACACAGAGCAAUUUGGCACCCACACUUCACCCACACACACACACACACACACACAAAACCUAUUUUUAUUAAAAUACUGACUGCAGGCUGAUUUGACUUAAAAUAGAAAAAUACCAAGAGAAAACACCACUGACAGGGAGCAAAACUGCAGACAAAAUUAUGCCAGCAAAAUGUGCAAACUUGUGUCUUUUACACUGAACACAGUCACGGGUUAUUUUCGGGACUAAACUGCUGUUGCUUUUUUAAAAUAAUGACAGAACAAUUAGCGGCUAAAGUGGCAGCUAGCUCAGAGCUAACGCUGCUUUAUCACAGUCGGCAUCUCCAUCUUCUCAUAACAAUGGCUGUCGGCGCCGCUCGCACGGUAACAACAAAACCCUCACCCAAAAGCUGGCGAUAAAAAACGGUGACAACACAUGGACGUAACUCCCCAACGUCCGUUUAUUUCAAUCGACUGCGCGAAUCCGAGCCCGCUUUUAAGCUAUGUGUGAUUUGUCGCCUUGAAGUAAUACGGCAAAAAGGGUGCAGUCCUCUUCAUAACAAGCAGGCCCUGCUGAUCCCUUCUGUAGCUAGCAGGCUAUCGGGAUUUCUGCUCCUCUCCGCUCGCUGCUUCAUGGAUUCAACACAACUCGAUUUUCUCCGACAGAAACCGCCUCACUCACCUUGGGUGUAGUUUAGCACGUACACGAAGAGGAAAACUUUAAGGAGAAGGCGCCGUGACGUCAGACGCAGGAUAGCCUGGCAUCCCUUCCCCCAGAAGCGUCCAUGAUCCAGCAGGCCUGCAUACAUUACAGCACUCAGUGUGCCUCGGAUCUACAGUCGUGGCCAAACGUUUUGAGAAUUACAUAAAUAUUGGAAAAGUUGCUGCUUAAGUUUGUAUAAUAGUAAUUUGCAUAUACCCCAGAAUGUUAUGAAGAGUGAUCAGGUGAAUUGCAUAGUCCUUCUUUGCCAUGAAAAUGAACUUAAUCCCAAAAAAACCUUUCCACUGCAUUCCAUUGCUGUCAUUAAAGGACCUGCUGAGAUCAUUUCAGUAAUCGUCUUGUUAACUCAGGUGAGAAUGUUGACGAGCACAAGGCUGGAGAUCAUUAUGUCAGGCUGAUUGGGUUAGAAUGGCAGACCUGACAUGUUAAAAGGAGGGUGAUGCUUGAAAUCAUUGUUAACCAUGGUGACCUGCAAAGAAACGCGUGCAGCCAUCAUUGCGUUGCAUAAAAAUGGCUUCACAGGCAAGGAUAUUGUGGCUACUAAGAUUGCACCUAAAUCAACAAUUUAUAGGAUCAUCAAGAACUUCAAGGAAAGAGGUUCAAUUCUUGUUAAGAACGCUUCACGGCGUCCAAGAAAGUCCAGCAAGCGCCAGGAUCAUCUCCUAAAGAGGAUUCAGCUGCGGGAUCAGAGUGCCACCAGUGCAGAGCUUGCUCAGGAAUGGCAGCAGGCAGGUGUGAGCGCAUCUGCACGCAUAGUGAGGGGAAGACUGUUGGAAGAUGGCCUGGUGUCAAGAAGGGCAGCAAAGAAGUCACUUCUCUCCAAAAAAAACAUCAGGGACAGAUUGAUCUUCUGCAGAAAGUAUGGUGAAUGGACUGCUGAGGACUGGGGCAAAGUCAUAUUCUCCGAUGAAGCCUCUUUCCGAUUGUUUGGGGCAUCUGGAAAAAGGCUUGUCCGGAGAAGAAACGGUGCGCGCUACCAUCAGUCCUGUGUCAUGCCAACAGUGAAGCAUCCUGAGACCAUAGUUGCUUCUGAUCCAAGGGAGUGGGCUCACACGACUGUAGUGUCAUGCGUGUGUGUCAUAUAUAAAUAUAUGCACACAUCAAUAAACAUGAAAAUUCUAGAGUUUUUCUCAACAUAACAACUUAACUGCUCAAUUAUUUCAGCUACAGGGCUUUUAGUACAAUUGCACAUGAUUUUACAUUAAUAUUACAUAAACGAUUCACUGUUGAAGCCACUUUAUGCAAAACUGUGAAACACCCCCGAGUAUCAACCGCCCACUGUGACUGAUACUACUACUUGAUUUUUGUUUUUAAAUGUCCACCAAGCAGGUUGUGACUGGCUGGUCUGCCAGAGAGCAUACUGGAUACUUUGUGUCAAACCAGUGAUGUAUGCCUCUGAUUUAUGACAGAGGAAGUAAUUAAAGGUAAUGGCAAUUUUUCUUAAUAUCAUAAAUUAUGAUAUAUUUAAUAACUCAUUAAUAAUCAAUAAUCACAUUGUUUAACACAUUUUCACACAAAACACAGAGUUUUUGUCAGAAAGUAAACGUUUUGGCUUAAAAUGACAACAGCGCUCCAGUAUGAAUUAUUAUUCCAUCAUUUUAAUAUCUCAAACAUCCUAUUCAUCAUCCUAUUCCAUCGGCAUAUUUUCAUGAUCAUAUUUUUUUGGUCAGAAUAUUAUUGAUUAUUAUCGAGUUAUGAAAUAUAAAAAGUAUUACUGGUUUGACACAUGGUAUGUAAUAUCUAUCUCUUCUGCUUCUUAGCUCAAAAAGUCGAUUCUGUUCAUCUGGGCGUAGAAACAUUUUGUCACUUAUCCAAGUGACUUCUUCAGUCUCAGCUGAGUGGUGUUUCCUUAGCAUUAUAAACAGCACUUUUGCACAAUGACUGAAACUAGCACCACUGAUGAACAAUGGGCUGUGAGGUCAGUUUCUUGACCAUUAAAUUGGCAGAUGUACAGAUGAACAGAAGCAACUUUAGGGUUUUUCUUACCUGGACGAUUGAGCAUGUAUCAAAACAUUGAUUUACACACUUUCUAAAUAUUGCAUUUUUACUACUACGUUCUUACUAAAUACGCUGCUGCUUGCGGUCUUUGUUCACAGGCUCGGAAUAUUUUAGUUGUUCCUUGUAGUCAAAUAAAGAGUAGGGGGGACAAACCCUUUCAGUCUGUGGCAUCAAGGCUUUUCAACAGUCUAUCACUACAGCCACAUUUAGCUGACUUUUAAAAAGAAGUUAAAAACUUUUUUUGUUUAAACUUUUUUAACUACCUGUUUUUUUGGCACUUAAUAUUCUUAUUUCCUAUACUAUUUUCUGCUGUACAGUGCUUUAUGACUGUGAAAAGGGCUUAAUAAAUAAACUUAACUUAUUAAUUUACGUACAAAUUUCAAAGAGCUGAAACAUGAAAAUUAGAUAACAAAUUCACUGUUUAUGCUACAAAAUAGAGAAAAAACUUUUUUGGCCUCUAGUUUUGAUCAUUAACUGCUUAUUUUUACUUGCACCAGGGAGGUUGUGUUUGGUUUGGUUUGUCUGGGUGUUAGCAACAUUACUCAAAACCUGUUUGGACAGGUUGGAAUAAUUUCUUUUUUAAUCAUCAAUAAACUGGACUUUUUCAUUUAUUUAUUUUUUACAUUUUGCAUAUCUUGACAAAUAUCAAAUUGAAAUAAAAUAACAUUAAAGUUAACAUUUAUCCAACUAUUGUUCUUUUUUCUUUUGUUGUUGUAGCUUUGGCAUACUUUAUAAAUUCUUAUAAAUUGCCAAAAAAACGUAUGUUGCUUCAUUCACAACACUCAGCAUGUCCUAAGGUUUGGCUUAUUAGACUUAUUUGUUUGUUAUGGAUGAAUUUACUCAAUUUCUUAAAAAUCAGAAGUGGGGGUUAUCCCAAAUUUGACUUAAUCCAGAUCUGGAUAAAGAGAUUUCUCAUACAUUCUGAAUCACUGAGUGAUGGAAAUACUGGAUAUUUUGUCAUAUCUUCACAACUUUAUAUCAAACUGAAAUAUUAAAAUCCAGAUUCAGAUUAUUCUGGAUUCACUGACUCUUCUCAUACCUGAUGUAGAUUCAUCUCUCAGCGGUGGUGUUUAUUCUCAGAGUGUUCUUGUUCUGAGAUGACUUUUACAGUUAAGUGACUGAGUCACAUCAUACCAGUAAUACAAUUAUGUCAUCUUAGCAUCAGGGAACCAAUUCAGACUGAACACUUAAUAAGUUAAUAGAGAAAGCAAACCACAGGUUGAGUGAUAAUUUAAAAAAGAAAUAACGGGCCUUUGGGAGAUGACUGUACACGGCAUUAAGCAUGACCACUUUUCUUGGUAGGGUACGGAGCCACUGUGGAGGAGUAGUUUAUACAAUGAAGGAUAUAUAUGGAGUGAAACUAAGCACAAUCAAAUUUUUGUAGGAAAACUAAACAAAUGAGGAAUUUAGGCAAGAAUUUGAUAUUUUAUUUAAAAGAUAUAAACUAUGAUUCAUUUUUAUUGUUAAUAACUGAUUUACGGCAAUGUCAAAGUUUGAAAUGAACAUGCUGAGGCAGAGUCUUAGCUUAUUAAACAGAUGUGUGCAUCUUAUAGUUAUUUCUGACCAUUUGAUAAUCAAAAAUGUUUAAUAUGCUUGCAUAACAGAAAGUCUGUUUAAAGAUUUUUUCUUUCUUCCUUUUUUUUAUUUUUAUUUUUAUACAGCAUUUGAAAAGGAAGCAGCUUUUUUUUGGGCUGGCUAAAAAUUUCCUUCAGUCCUGCCCUAAAAUACUCUGAUUAAAAGUAGCCCCAUGACUUCUUCCUUUGCACCCAGCUGAUAUCUUUGAUUAACCAAUGCUUAGUGGCAAAAAGCUUAUUUAUAGGCAUAAUAUCACAGUGUUUAAUUGCAUUGAAAAACUCAUAGAGCUGUCAUGCAAUUUAUAAGCAGCCAAGAAAAUGUGAGUCUUGGUUGCAUGGCAACCCACGAUCCUGUGAUUAUAGUGUUGCCCUAAAAAAGGAAACACCAUUAAAUUAGUGUAGUGGCUGGAUCUAUUUACUGUCAUGCAUCAGUUGCGAUUUUUGAUCCUAGAAGCUGUUAACGAUGAUCCUCAUCACAUAGUGCACGACUUCCUGUUGAA